rnacentral:rRNA from 1 species
GAUGAACGCUGGCGGCGUGCCUAAUACAUGCAAGUCGAGCGAACAGACGAGGAGCUUGCUCCUCUGACGUUAGCCGCGGACGGGUGAGUAACACGUGGAUAACCUACCUAUAAGACUGGGAUAACUUCGGGAAACCGGAGCUAAUACCGGAUAAUAUAUUGAACCGCAUGGUUCAAUAGUGAAAGACGGUUUUGCUGUCACUUAUAGAUGGAUCCGCGCCGCAUUAGCUAGUUGGUAAGGUAACGGCUUACCAAGGCAACGAUGCGUAGCCGACCUGAGAGGGUGAUCGGCCACACUGGAACUGAGACACGGUCCAGACUCCUACGGGAGGCAGCAGUAGGGAAUCUUCCGCAAUGGGCGAAAGCUUGACGGAGCAACGCCGCGUGAGUGAUGAAGGUCUUCGGAUCGUAAAACUCUGUUAUUAGGGAAGAACAAAUGUGUAAGUAACUAUGCACGUCUUGACGGUACCUAAUCAGAAAGCCACGGCUAACUACGUG